CUGAAGCGGAAACUGCGGCUUAGGUUGUUGUGGAACUGGCUUCUGAAGAGGGAACUGCGGCUUAGGUUGUUGUGGAACUGGCUUCUGAAGCGGAAACUGCGGCUUAGGUUGUUGUGGAACUGGCUUCUGAAGCGGAAACUGCGGCUUAGGUUGUUGUGGAACUGGCUUCUGAAGCGGAAACUGCGGCUUAGGUUGUUGUGGAACUGGCUUCUGAAACGGAAACUGCGGCUUAGGUUGUUGUGGAACUGGCUUCUGAAACGGAAACUGCGGCUUAGGUUGUUGUGGAACUGGCUUCUGAAACAGAAACUGCUGGUUAGUUAGCUGUUGAACUGGUUUCUGAGGUGGAAACUGCUGGUUAGUUAGCUGUUGAACUGGCUUCUGGAGCUGAAACUGCUGGUCAGUUUGCUGGAUCAUCAGAGCUUGAGCAUUCUGAAGCGAUUGACUCCACUGUGGGACAGCAUGACAGAAAGCACAGACCACCAAAAUCUGAGCCAAACACCAACUUCCAGCCAUUGUUCAACAGCUAAACACAAA